rnacentral:tRNA from 1 species
GAGGGUAUAGCUCAAGUGAUAGAGUGUGUGCUUUGCAUGCAUGAGGUCUUGGGCUCAAUCCCCAGUACCUCCC